AAGAGAGGACUGUUCAGUCAUGGCAUGUCUUGGUGGUUGGUGGGUUCUUUUUCUCAUUUCAGGUUACACGUCUGGUGAGGGAAUACAACCAAGUUCCUCCACUGUCAGUGUUCUACAGGGAGAUUCUGUUACUGUGUCCUGCAAUUACAAUGGAUCUACAGUAAUUGAUAAUCUGCUGUGGUAUCGUCAGUAUUCUAGAUCCAGACCUGAGUUCCUGAUUUUGGUCACUGAAGCUAACUUUACACAAAAUGCUGUUCCUCCAGUUGCUGGAGUGUCUGCAAAUGUGAAUGAAGAGAAAAACCGUGUGGAUCUGUUGAUCUUCUCUGCUGUAGUAUCAGACUCUGCUCUCUUCUACUGUGCUCUGAGGCCCACAGUGACAGGAAAGCAUGACACACUGUACAAAAACUUUUUGGCAUCCAGAACAUUUAAAACAUUUAAAACAUUCCUGCCUUAUUUAAUCCUGUACUAAUGUUAAAUUUGCUAUUGUGACAGUUCAAUUCCAAAAGAAAACUGAGCUCCACCAGUGCCACUCAUAAAGCACUCUGAACAUGGCAUGUUUUCAUCUUUCAUAAGUUACAACUUAAAAACCUCAUCAUUACACUGAACAUGUGUUAUGAACCCCACCCCCCUCCUGCAUUUGGAUUUUCCCCCACACCUAUCGCUUGUUGUGUUUGCAUGUCUUUUGUUUCGUUCUGCUGAGAAAACUGAGGAACCUAAACUCACUCUUACUUUGAAGGAAGCUGGCAGUAAUGAUGUGAAGAGGAGGAGAUUAGAACCCUGUACAGCUCAGACUGAACAGAGACCAGCAUACAGCCUUCAGAAGAGCAGCUGCAGUUCAGCCUUUAAACCUGCCUGUUUCUGUGAUCAUGAUGUUCUUCAUGAUGUUCAUGUUGUCUGUUAAAGGUAACAGAGCUGCAGAACUAAUCUCUCCAUACACUGCAGCUGUGUUCACCAAUGAGGGUGAAAGUGUUACACUCUCUUGUAAUUACAGCGGUUCUGUUAGACGUCUUUACUGGUAUCUCCAGAAUUCAGCAUCACCUCCUCAGUUCCUCAUAGCAGACUAUUCACCUCCUGUUACUAGAAUAUCAGUCAAACACAGAAAAGAAGCCACCAGUGUGGAUCUGAUCAUCUCCUCUGCUGCAGUAUCAGACUCUGCACUCUACUACUGUGCCCU